UUUAAAAAUUGUGGUUGGCAAGUAGAAAACCUUCAUACACACAUGUCUGCUUGUAUGUGUAUAUGUGUGUGUGUGCGUGUGUGUGUGUGUGUGUGUUUAGGAAAAAAUAUCAAAUGCACACACACAUAUAUUUAUAUUCUAUCCAAUAGACCUUUGUAUUUUUUAGCAUUUUGUAGAUAUUGAUACAGUUUGUGAUUAAGGGCAUGGACUCAGGAGCCAGAGUGCCUGGCUAGAAACCCUAGCUUUUCGCCUUGACCUUGGGUGAGUCAUUCAUCCCUCUGUGCCUCAGAUUUCUCAUCUGUAGAAUGAGAGAAUAAUCCUCCCUAUUUCAAGGAUCAUGAGGACCAAGGGCAUUAGUAUGUGUGACGAUCCUAGAAUAAUAGUCAGCACCUAGUAAGCACAACAGAAGGAUUAACUGCUAGGAUCUGCCACAGGCAAAGCACUGUGUCAGGUCCUGUGGGUAUUUAAGGAAACAAGAUAGAGUCUGAGCCCUUGCCAGUGAGUUGGGGAAACAAUGGUGAAAUCUCAGUGACCACAUCCAGGGGAGAGAGCCAGGAUCGAAUGAGGGCCCCAACCAACCAACCAUUUUAAGUGUGGACACUGUCUACCCUUAGUUAACCAUUCAGUGACUUUUAUCAGGUGUCUACAAUGUUCCAGGCACCACACCAUUCUUCCUGGUGUAAAGAUUCCAGCUUCUCCCUUUUCUGAUAUUAGGAAAAUACCCAUUUGGGGUCAGUUGUUAGAAAACCGGUCCAAGUCUACUGCCUACUUACUGCACCAACAAACCCAAGCAGUUUCCAGAACGUCAAGUGUUUUGACUAAUCAACCCAUCACAAGAAGCUGCCAGCAAUGGCUCUCAAUGGUCUUCCCCAACCAGGCUCACGAGACUCAGAGGCAAAGAGUCUAUGUCUCCCUUAUGAGUCAUCACAAAGCAAGAGAACAACAUCUUUUACACAGUGAAAACACAGAAGAAAAGAAAGUGGCAAUCUAGAAAACAGGAGAAUCAAGGAGAAUCAAUCACAUUUUAUAUGAGUGACCAUCAUCUUAGAUUCAGGUUGCCCCCACAACAAGGUUGGACAAUUUUUUAACUAAUUUUUUAUUUGGUAAAAUACACAUAAAAUUAAAUAUACCAUCUUAACCAUUUGUAAAUGCACAUUUCAGCAGCAUUAAACACAUUCCACUGUUGUGCAACCAUUGCCACCACCCGUCUCUGGAACUUUCGUCAUCUUGCAAAACUGAGACUCUGUCUCCAUUCAACACUAACUCCCCAUUGUUCCUCCCCCCUGCCCCUGGCACCCCCAUUCUGCUUUCUAUUUUGAUGAGUUUGACCACUCUAGUACCUCAUCACCCAGUAUUUGUUCUUUUAUGACUGCCUUAUUUCACUCAACACAGUGUCCUUGAGGUUCAUCCAUGUGGUAGCAGGUGUCAGGAUGUCCUUCCUUUUUAAGGCUGAAUAUUCUAAUUUUUCAAUACAUCAGGCUAGUCCAACAACCCACCGUCCUGUCCCAUCCUUGCUUUUCCUCUUCAACAGCCCUGCUACCUAUGCAAUGUUGCCGCCAGGCAUGGAGAGCACCCAUC
rnacentral:lncRNA from 1 species